UCCGGUGUGGUCAUCUAGAUGUGGGAUAAUGCUGCACAUCAACGGCUAUAAGUUUUCGAAGGAGUAUAGCAGGAAUGGUAAAGUGCGUUGGCAAUGUUCACUCAGGUACAAGACCAAGUGUAGGGCCUUCCUGACUACCAUUGAAGGGGAAGUGGUGAAGAGCUGCUUGGAGCAUUAUCACGAUAGACCAAACUUAAUUGACACCGGAGUUUUUAACGUCGAGAUACGGCAAGCCAGUCCUGAAGCUAGGAUCGCAUAGAUUCAACAAGUACUACAGAUACACAGGCCCUAUGGCCAGAUGGUAUUGCACUAAGAUAUCAAGCGGGUGUAAAGCUAAUGUCGUCACGAUUGACAAUGUGAUUGUCGGCAUGAGAAACGAUCACAAUCAUCUUUAUGUCGAACCUGCUUUAAAAAAAUGACAUUUAUUUUAAGUAGAUUUUAGAAUUAUUUUCGCUUGUCUUGGUCCCCAACUAAAAUAAAUGUGGAACCGAACAGGAAUCAUUUGUGUUUUAUUAUGCAAUAAAGAUUUUUAAACGAAUGCCUA